CUUGAAGCGCACACGGAGAUCAACAGGCAGGGGCAUGGCUUCCCACACAUCAUCAAGGGUGACUACAGCAUAAGCUGCUUUUCGCACGCCCUCAUGUAGAAAGCUGGUCCCAUCUGUACAAAGAGUUGCAUCUUUGUGCGAUGGGGGUUUGUCCUUCAAAUCUGGGUGACUGGCAUAGGUUUCUUCUUUCUGGUCUGGGACAGCUCGAAGAGCAUGGGGGGGUGUAGAUAUUUAAUUGCUGUCCAAAAGUGAGCUUAUUGGCUUCCUGGGUAAGUAGGGCAGUUCCUGUCACAGCCUUGAGACAGGCUGACCACCCCUUGGCCACCUGAUCCAGCUGUUUGGACAAAUAUGCAACCGGACGAUACCAUGUUCCCAACUGUUGGGUCAGUAUCCCAAUGGCCAUAUUCUGCUUAAUGUCCACAAACAACUGAAAAGGCUGUCAAGUCAGAAAACUAGGAGCCUGAGUCACAGCAUGCUUCAAUUCCAAAAAGCUG